CCUCCCCCUGUCAGCCCCAGCCAAGAAACUUGUAAGUCUUUCCAGAAGCACUUGCGAAUAAAUACAGUUUCAUGACCUAGGUGCUUCAUCUCCUCAGCACCCUGCUCCAAAGCCCUUGUGCAGCCGACAGCCCCAUCGGCUUGGGAGGCGAGUGCAAGCACGAGGAGCUGCAAUGGGUCCCGCCGCCGGCGCAGUGCUCCAGCAUGAUGGAGGCAGUUUUUCUUCUAUAUUGUGGAAAGCAUAUCAGAUCAGUUUCCCUGUUUCAUUAUGGGAUUUUUCAUACGAAGAGUCUUUCAAUUUAAGGGUAAAGUCUGAAUCUUAUGGUCAUGUGAUAUGACUCGUACACAAGCAGUAUCUCCAUGCUGUAUUCUUGCUUUCAAUGGCUUCUAAUGUGAGGAAAAACACGCAAUGACAAGUGUGGAAAAGAGCAAGCACUAAAUUACUGUCAGAAAAAUAAACGGAGCAGCGCGCGGCUGCA
rnacentral:lncRNA from 1 species